rnacentral:rRNA from 1 species
GACAGAGGAUGCAAGCGUUAUCCGGAAUUAUUGGGCGUAAAGCGCGCGCAGGCGGUUUCUUAAGUCUGAUGUGAAAGCCCACGGCUCAACCGUGGAGGGUCAUUGGAAACUGGGGAACUUGAGUGCAGAAGAGAAAAGCGGAAUUCCACGUGUAGCGGUGAAAUGCGUAGAGAUGUGGAGGAACACCAGUGGCGAAGGCGGCAUCCUGGACCGGCAUUGACGCUGAACAGCGAAAGCCAGGGGAGCAAACGGG